AAAAUUUCCAAAAGAUUCCAGGCUGAUCGUGAAGCUUAGCAAUAAUCUGAUGAAAAGGAUUUCUUCACUUACACGUAUCUAACUGUCUUCUCUAAAAUCACCCAGUAUAAAUUGAUCUGUUUUCAACUAAAUACAACUGCAACAUUUUUUUUGGUCUUUGUGUAGAUAUCUAGUACUUCUAAGGUCUAGUUGGUACCUACAACUGGCAGAUGAUCAACUAUGAGUCCUGGUGUUCUUAAAAUCCAAAUUGCAAGCAUAUGAAGGUUUGGUUCACAGUUACCAUCUGGUGUCAUUUCCCCCAAAUUUGGAAUUUGCAGACCAGAAUACAUUAUUUUAGAUAUUUAUUGCUUGGCUCAUUACAUUGACUUAAUAACCAUUUGAUAUAAAUUGUGCCCAGUUAAUUCUGUUAAUGAUAAAUCAGUUACCAGAGAGCAUUAGUUAGUUUUAAUAUGAUAUAUGCAUACAAGGUUUUUCAGUUUUAGAAUGAAUGACAGCUAUCUUUCAUAGCGUUUUUUGAAUUUUAAAACCUUCUUUGUGCAUAUUCACUGAUACUGUUUCAAGAUGUGAAUCAAGCUAUCUGAAGUGCCAGUUUUAUUUCAUUCUGCUAUUAAGUGAUACAACGUAAGAUGGGAAAUUUUCUAAAUUAUUAACAUGCAAGGUGUCCAUAGAUAUUUUAGAAUGGACAUUUGAUUAAAGCAGGAUAACAUGGAAUAAUUUUUAAGCAAUGUUGUUUUAGCUUUGAAGAUAGGAUUUUAUAUGAGAAUAUUAUCAUUUAUCAAAAGAACCAGGCUCUGGCAUAAUUACAGCAUAGUUCCUAAUCAAGAACGAUAGACAAAUAAAUUAUAACAUAUGCAACACAUCUACUUGGCAGAUACAAACUGACCAAUGGAUGAUGUCAGGGAGUCUACACUCACUGGGUACAUUCACUUCUGUUGGUUAAACACACUCUGAAAGUACAGGAAUAAAAAAUAAAACCACUGGCUGUAUAGAAUUAAUAUGCUAAGCCCCAAAUAACACCUUUAGAGAACAUAUCCCAGAAUAAUAAAAAAGAAUUAAAGAAUUAGGUCAGUAGGACUUAAUUUCUAGAAUCCAAUGCCAUGUAUGUGCUAUAUGCAAAGAGGUGUAUUGAGCUCUCGAACUGGAUAAACUGAUGGCAGAGAAAGGAACUCCGCCAUGCAUUAGUUCUACAUGCAAAGUACUUUUGCGGAUUCUAUCAGCCUUUCCACUCCUAAAAGAAAAGAUAAGGCUGGAAACGACCCAACUGUCCCUCAACCGAAGAAUGGAUGCAGAAAAUGUGAUUCAUUUAUACAAUGGCAUACUAUAGUAAGCCACUGAAAACUAACAUUCCUUAACUCCAGUUCAAGGGGGAUCUGAUGGCCCCUUGUAGCCUCUGUGGGCAUCAAGAAUUCACUUAGUGCACAAAAAUACAUGUGGAAAGAACAGCCGUGUACACUUUAAUAAAUCUGUGGUCAAUUUUUUUUAAUAAAAGAAUUCACGGGGCUGGGGAUUUAGCUCAGUGGUAGAGCGCUUACCUAGGAAGCGCAAGGCCCUGGGUUCGGUCCCCAGCUCCGGAAAAAAGAACCAAAAAAAUAAAUAAAUAAAUAAAUAAAAGAAUUCACAGAUUUUUAUUUAAAAGAUGAACUGACCAAGAUAAAAUAUAAGAUCAGGAGACAUGUCCAGUUCCAAAUCACUCUACUGCAGUUUCAUACACUAUUAAGUUCUCU
rnacentral:lncRNA from 1 species